GACGAACGCUGGCGGCGUGCUUAACACAUGCAAGUCGAACGGAAAGGCCCUGCUUUCGUGGGGUGCUCGAGUGGCGAACGGGUGAGUAACACGUGAGUAACCUGCCCUUGACUUUGGGAUAACUUCAGGAAACUGGGGCUAAUACCGGAUAGGAGCUCCUGCUGCAUGGUGGGGGUUGGAAAGUUUCGGCGGUUGGGGAUGGACUCGCGGCUUAUCAGCUUGUUGGUGGGGUAGUGGCUUACCAAGGCUUUGACGGGUAGCCGGCCUGAGAGGGUGACCGGCCACAUUGGGACUGAGAUACGGCCCAGACUCCUACGGGAGGCAGCAGUGGGGAAUAUUGCACAAUGGGCGGAAGCCUGAUGCAGCAACGCCGCGUACGGGAUGACGGCCUUCGGGUUGUAAACCGCUUUCGCCUGUGACGAAGCGUGAGUGACGGUAAUGGGUAAAGAAGCACCGGCUAACUACGUG
rnacentral:rRNA from 1 species